UACGUAGGGGGCUAGCGUUGUCCGGAUUUAUUGGGCGUAAAGAGCGUGUAGGCGGAUCGCUAAGUCAGGGGUGAAAUCCCAGGGCUCAACCCUGGAACUGCCUUUGAUACUGACGAUCUGGAGAUCGGGAGAGGUUGGUGGAAUUCCGAGUGUAGAGGUGAAAUUCGUAGAUAUUCGGAGGAACACCAGAAGCGAAGGCGGCCAACUGGCCCGAUACUGACGCUGAGGCGCGAAAGCGUGGGGAGCAAACAGG
rnacentral:rRNA from 1 species